AUUUCAUCGUAUCUGAACUACACCCUAGGGUUUGGCCUUCCACCAUAAGCAUUGUACCGAGCCAUGCCAUUCGGGGUCUUUUCAACACUGGUCUCGUUUUUCCUUUUCAAUACGACACGCCAGGUGAGCACCUCCAAAAUUGCAGCACUGAUCGACAAAAUGACUAUGAUUGUAAUAUAUCCUCUUUGCCAUUUCUUGUCUGGAUUCAGGAUGUCGAAUCCUUUGAAUAUGUUGAUGAUGCUCAAGAGAAUGACCAUGUACCCUGUUGUGUGGUGGUAGAUAUUCCAGUACAACCUGUAUUUGUGAUCUUUCUGUGGCCUUACGAGCAAAG
rnacentral:lncRNA from 1 species